rnacentral:lncRNA from 1 species
GAAAAGAUAAAAGAGCUAAGAAAACACAGAGGAGAUUUAGGAAGGCGUAGUGAGCUUAUUCAGGCCCUGAUUGGAUUGGCGUUUCACAGCGCCAUACACCUGUAAAUUAUACAGACCUGCAUCCGUCGUUUUCUUUCACAAACGAAAAUCAAUUAUGACCGGUAUAAUACCCCUGUAAAAUAUAUACAGAAAAAUACACCGAUGCCAAGCGGGGCCUCAUGAAUUUCCUUCAGGUUGGCUAGCCCCAGCACGUACUCUACGAUAUGCUCGCUGGUCAUGACGACAGUGCUUCUAAAGUAACGAUAGAGGCGGGAGCCUUUUCGUGGAGCCACUACAGGCACUCCUUGCCUCCCUGCUGGUACUACUCGUCGAGCAUGGCAUGAAUAAAGUAAGGGCGACACACCGUUUAGACCUCUGGAGCACUUCCCUGGCCUCUGCCGCCACCUCCACUUCGAGGAAGUCCCUCAAGUUGUUGAGGAUCAUGGCUGCAGUGUGCUCGGUCUCCUUCAUGGUGUACGUCAACAUGAACUCAUCCAUGUAGAUGUUGUGUAUGAAGCUUGGGAAACCGCUUGAGCGCGACUCGUCCUUAAGUGUGUCCUCCAUAGGCAUGUCAUCUCAUAUAUGUGUAUAUAGAAGAAGGUAUCCUACCAUUGAUAUCGAGUUUAGCGAGGAGGCUGGUAGGAGCUGCGAUCUGAAGAAGGCUCUUUGUGGCAGCAUGCGGAUAAGUUUUUUAAAGUUUCAACCUGAGGAGUCUCAUCCAUAGGAUGUAUGCAAGCGUGCCAAGAAGGGAGACAUACUUGUGGGAGAACGUGACAUGACAAAAAUGAUUAGGAAUAUAUGUUAAACAG